rnacentral:rRNA from 1 species
UGCCAGCAGCCCCGGUAAUACGGAGGGCGCAACUGUUACUCGGAAUCACUGGGCGUAAAGAGCGUGUAGGCGGGUUAAUAAGUUUGAGGUGAAAUCCAAUGGCUCAACCAUUGAACUGCUUUGAAAACUGUUAACCUAGAAUAUGGGAGAGGUAGAUGGGAUUUCUGGUGUAGGGGUAAAAUCCGUAGAGAUCAGAAGGAAUACCGAUUGCGAAGGCGAUCUACUGGAACAUUAUUGACGCUGGGACGCGAAAGCGUGGGGAGCAAACAGGAUUAGAUA